AAAGGCAGAUCGUUUGUCGCUGUUCCGCUUGCGGAAGAGAGGAAAGUCUGGGCAGUAUAGAGCACCGUACUUCUUAACUGGAAGGGUUCGUCGGUUGACGAAUACAGAUAGUGCCACAGAAAUAAGUAGCCUAGGAGUUAAAUCCUAGGUCAUAGUGAAAAGGCGAGGUAAGAGCUCACCGCAUCAAUGGUGACAUUGUUGGCUAGGUAAACCUUACGGACUGAAAGACCAUGUAAACCAAGGCUAAAGGGCUGCUCGCUCAACUUGGAGGGUAGGUCGAUGGAUCCCGAGGGUGACUUCGGGGCUAGAUAAAUGACAAACAGCCAUUUUCGGAUGGUGUACAGGACCCGGCUUAUGGUUUGCCUUUUUGU
rnacentral:RNase_P_RNA from 1 species